GAAUAAGACUUCGGUCUUGUUCAAAUUUGUAGCGGCGAGCGAACCUGGAUUAGCCCUUAAGCACUCGGUGAAGUAGGUGAACAAGCUGGAAAGCUUGGCGAUACAGGGUGAUAGCCCCGUAACCGACGCUUCAUCGAGCGUGAAAUCGAGUAGGGCGGGACACGUGAUAUCCUGUCUGAAUAUGGGGGGACCAUCCUCCAAGGCUAAAUACUCCUGACUGACCGAUAGUGAACCAGUACCGUGAGGGAAAGGCGAAAAGAACCCCUGUGAGGGGAGUGAAAUAGAACCUGAAACCGUGUACGUACAAGCAGUAGGAGCACCUUCGUGGUGUGACUGCGUACCUUUUGUAUAAUGGGUCAGCGACUUAUAUUCAGUGGCAAGGUUAACCGUAUAGGGGAGCCGUAGCGAAAGCGAGUCUUAACUGGGCGCUCAGUCUCUGGAUAUAGACCCGAAACCGGGUGAUCUAGCCAUGGGCAGGUUGAAGGUUGAGUAACAUCAACUGGAGGACCGAACCGACUAAUGUUGAAAAAUUAGCGGAUGACUUGUGGCUAGGGGUGAAAGGCCAAUCAAACUCGGAGAUAGCUGGUUCUCCCCGAAAGCUAUUUAGGUAGCGCCUCGGACGAAUACUACUGGGGGUAGAGCACUGUUAAGGCUAGGGGGUCAUCCCGACUUACCAACCCUUUGCAAACUCCGAAUACCAGUAAGUACUAUCCGGGAGACACACGGCGGGUGCUAACGUCCGUCGUGGAGAGGGAAACAACCCAGACCGCCAGCUAAGGUCCCAAAGUAUUGCUAAGUGGGAAACGAUGUGGGAAGGCUCAGACAGCUAGGAUGUUGGCUUAGAAGCAGCCAUCAUUUAAAGAAAGCGUAAUAGCUCACUAGUCGAGUCGGCCUGCGCGGAAGAUGUAACGGGGCUAAGCAAUACACCGAAGCUGCGGCAAUGUCUUUUAGACAUUGGGUAGGGGAGCGUUCUGUAAGCCGUUGAAGGUGAAUCGUAAGGUUUGCUGGAGGUAUCAGAAGUGCGAAUGCUGACAUGAGUAACGACAAAGGGGGUGAAAAACCUCCUCGCCGGAAGACCAAGGGUUCCUGUCCAACGUUAAUCGGGGCAGGGUGAGUCGACCCCUAAGGUGAGGCCGAAAGGCGUAAUCGAUGGGAAACGGGUUAAUAUUCCCGUACUUCUGACUAUUGCGAUGGGGGGACGGAGAAGGCUAGGUGGGCCAGGCGACGGUUGUCCUGGUUCAAGUGCGUAGGCUUGAGAGUUAGGUAAAUCCGGCUCUCUCUAAGGCUGAGACACGACGUCGAGCUGCUACGGCAGUGAAGUCAUUGAUGCCAUGCUUCCAGGAAAAGCCUCUAAGCUUCAGAUAGUCAGGAAUCGUACCCCAAACCGACACAGGUGGUCGGGUAGAGAAUACCAAGGCGCUUGAGAGAACUCGGGUGAAGGAACUAGGCAAAAUGGUACCGUAACUUCGGGAGAAGGUACGCUCUUGAUGGUGAAGUCCCUCGCGGAUGGAGCUGACGAGAGUCGCAGAUACCAGGUGGCUGCAACUGUUUAUUAAAAACACAGCACUGUGCAAAAUCGCAAGAUGACGUAUACGGUGUGACGCCUGCCCGGUGCCGGAAGGUUAAUUGAUGGGGUUAGCGCAAGCGAAGCUCUUGAUCGAAGCCCCGGUAAACGGCGGCCGUAACUAUAACGGUCCUAAGGUAGCGAAAUUCCUUGUCGGGUAAGUUCCGACCUGCACGAAUGGCGUAAUGAUGGCCACGCUGUCUCCACCCGAGACUCAGUGAAAUUGAAAUCGCUGUGAAGAUGCAGUGUACCCGCGGCUAGACGGAAAGACCCCGUGAACCUUUACUACAGCUUGGCACUGAACAUUGAACCUACAUGUGUAGGAUAGGUGGGAGGCUAUGAAGACGUGACGCCAGUUGCGUUGGAGCCGUCCUUGAAAUACCACCCUUGUAUGUUUGAUGUUCUAACUUAGACCCGUUAUCCGGGUUGAGGACAGUGCCUGGUGGGUAGUUUGACUGGGGCGGUCUCCUCCCAAAGAGUAACGGAGGAGCACGAAGGUGGGCUAAUCACGGUUGGACAUCGUGAGGUUAGUGCAAUGGCAUAAGCCCGCUUAACUGCGAGAAUGACGGUUCGAGCAGGUGCGAAAGCAGGUCAUAGUGAUCCGGUGGUUCUGUAUGGAAGGGCCAUCGCUCAACGGAUAAAAGGUACUCCGGGGAUAACAGGCUGAUACCGCCCAAGAGUUCAUAUCGACGGCGGUGUUUGGCACCUCGAUGUCGGCUCAUCACAUCCUGGGGCUGAAGUCGGUCCCAAGGGUAUGGCUGUUCGCCAUUUAAAGUGGUACGCGAGCUGGGUUUAGAACGUCGUGAGACAGUUCGGUCCCUAUCUGCCGUGGGCGUUGGAAGAUUGAAGGGGGCUGCUCCUAGUACGAGAGGACCGGAGUGGACGAACCUCUGGUGUUCGGGUUGUGUCGCCAGACGCAUUGCCCGGUAGCUAAGUUCGGAAUUGAUAAGCGCUGAAAGCAUCUAAGCGCGAAGCGAGCCCUGAGAUGAGUCUUCCCUGACAGUUUAACUGUCCUAAAGGGUUGUUCGAGACUAGAACGUUGAUAGGCAGGGUGUGUAAGCGUUGUGAGGCGUUGAGCUAACCUGUACUAAUUGCCCGUGAGGCUUAACCA
rnacentral:rRNA from 1 species